rnacentral:rRNA from 1 species
AUACGGAGGGUGCAAGCGUUAAUCGGAAUUACUGGGCGUAAAGCGCGCGUAGGCGGUUUAGUCAGUCAGAUGUGAAAGCCCCGGGCUCAACCUGGGAACUGCAUUUGAUACUGCUGAACUAGAGUAUGGUAGAGGGAAGUGGAAUUCCGGGUGUAGCGGUGAAAUGCGUAGAUAUCCGGAGGAACACCAGUGGCGAAGGCGACUUCCUGGACCAAUACUGACGCUGAGGUGCGAAAGCGUGGGUAGCAAACAGGAUUAGAAACCCUAGUAGUCC